rnacentral:lncRNA from 1 species
GGGGCAUCUAGGUUGGUUUCACUAUUGUGUUUAGCUAUUGUGAAUUGUGCUGCUAUAAACAUUGAUGUGGCUGUGUCCCCACAGUAUGCUGAUAUUAAGUCCUUUGGGUAUAAACCAAGGAGAGGGAUAACUGGGUCAAAUGGUGGCUCCAUACCCAGUUUUCCAAGGAAUCUCCACACUGCUUUCCGUAUUGGCUGCACCAAUUUGCAGUCCCACCAGCAAUGUAUGAAUGUGUCUUUUCCUCCACAUCCUCGCCAACACUUAUUGUUGUUUGUCUUCAUAAUAGCUGCCAUUCUGACUGGAGUGAGAAUGAUAUCAGAGUAGUUUUGAUUUGUCAUAUAUUUGUUGACUGAUCAUAUUUGUUCUGUGAAGUGCUUGUUCAGUUCCUUUGCCCAUUUAUUGAUUGGGUUUUUCUUUUUCUUUUUUUUUUAAGUUUUUUGAGAUCUUUAUAUAUCUUAGAGAUUAAUGCUCUAUCUGAGGAGAAGGUAGAAAAGACUUUCUCCCAUUUGGUAGGCUCUCUCUUCACAUUCUUGAUUGUUUCUUUUGCUGUGAAGAACUUUUUAGUUUGAUUCCAUCCCAUUUGUUGAUUCUUGGUUUUAGAGAAGUCUCCAUUUGUAAGGGUGGUUCCCUCUCUAUCCCUGCAGGAGAUGGAGGACUAAAUUACUGGAUGCUCUCAGAGUGAAGGUGAUGAUUUGGGUCUGUGUCACAAGCCUCACCUUUGCCCAUUUGUCCUAAGUAGGAUUCCUAUGUGUGCUUGUCUGGGUCUCAGCAGAUGUUGGUAGGUAGGCCUGGAAUGUGAUUAUGUCAGACAUGUAGAUGACAAUCCUUUAGGGCAAUAAUCAGACAAGUCAAUCAAGAAGAGGGAACGAAUCCUUUUACUCUAUUCCCUUGCUGAAAUGAGCAAAACAAAAUGGUCAAGGGCAAAGAAAAUACCAUCAGAACAACUACUUUUUUUUUUUUUGACAAGCGAUUGAACCCAGGGACACUUAUCCACCAAGCCACAUCCCCAGCCCUUUUUAAUUUAUUUAUUUAUUUUAUUUUUAGACAGGGUCUUGCCAGAUUGCUUACAGCCUCACUAAAUUGCUGAGGCUGGCUUUGAACCUGUGAUCCUCUUGCCUCAGCCUCUUGAGCAACUGGGAUUACAGGCAUGCACCACCACACCUCGCAGAGCAAAUGGUUUUUAAAAAAUAUUCUUAGAAUAAUAGAUGAUAGGUUGUAAUAAGGUCUGUCUGGGUGCAAUGAAGUAUUCUGUCCUGUGAUGAGUUAGAGCCGAGUCCCUUUGGAGGCUCCAAGUGAGAGGAACUUAGAAAACCUACAUUUUGGUGUACAAGUGCCUUCUACUUAAAAGUAAUCAAUAUACUCAAGAAAUAUAUUUGGGGAUGGUAUUUCCUGAACUCCUUCAAUGGCUUUGUUUAGUGAUCAAUUCAAGAAUAAUUGGUAAUUAGAGUUAAACCUGGUGCAUAUAUGGAAGUUUGUGAACGAAGUUGUGGUAGUUUCAGGAAUAGUUCUCAAUGGCGGGAAGCCUUGGAGUCUAGUUGUAGUAAUUUAAAGAGUAGAUAUUUAUGAAAUGUCUGUGCCAUUUUCAAGUAAAUUCUAAAACAUGGGCCUUUACCAUUCUGAUUUGAUUGUGUGUUGGAGGAAGACAGUCUGAUGACAUGAUAAAUGUGAUUCUGACCUGCUGGAGAUGUUCCAAUUACCUUUGAUUGGAAUAGGCUAUUGUAAAUUCUUCUGAAGACAAAACAGCUAUUUUCGGCUUUCAUUGAAAAAAAAAGAAGAAUGUGUCUUGACUAAUUGGAAAAAAUUAAGUAGUGAAACACAUCCACUUAAUGGAUAUUUGAUGGCUUAUAACAUUUUAGUAGGUCUAGAGAUAUAUGACAAACAAGGUAGAGUUCCUUUUCCUCAUGGAGUGUUAUAGAAGCAGAUGCAUACACACGGAACAAGUAAAAA